CUACGGGGCGCAGCAGUCGAGAGGCUUCGGCAAUGGGGGAAACCCUGACCGAGCGACGCCGCGUGUGUGAUGAAGGUCGUAAGAUCGUAAAGCACUGUUAGCAGGGAAGAAAUGCUAUACGGUUAAUACCCGUACAGCUUGACGUUACCUGCAGAGAAAGCUCCGGCUAACUCCGUGCCAGCAGCCGCGGUAACACGGGGGGAGCAAACGUUAUUCGGAAUCACUGGGCGUAAAGGGCGCGCAGGCGGCCAGGUAAGUGGGAUGUGAAAUCCGGUGGCUCAACCAUCGAACUGCAUCCUAUACUGCUUGGCUUGAGGACGGGAGAGGAAAUGGGAAUUCCCGGUGUAGCGGUGACAUGCACUGAUAUCGGGAGGAACACCAGUGGCGAAGGCGCAUUUCUGGCCUGUUCCUGACGCUCAGGCGCGAAAGCUGGGGGAGCAAACAGGAUUAGAUACCCGAGUAGUC
rnacentral:rRNA from 1 species